rnacentral:rRNA from 1 species
UACGGGGGGGGCAAGCGUUGUUCGGAAUUACUGGGCGUAAAGGGCUCGUAGGCGGCCAACUAAGUCGGACGUGAAAUCCCCAGGCUCAACCUGGGAACUGCGUCUGAUACUGGAUGGCUUGAAUCCGGGAGAGGGAUGCAGAAUUCCAGGUGUAGCGGUGAAAUGCGUAGAUAUCUGGAGGAACACCGGUGGCGAAGGCGGCAUCCUGGACCGGCAUUGACGCUGAGGCGCGAAAGCCAGGGGAGCAAACGGG